GGCGGAGUGGUUAACGCGCUGGCCUGCUAUUGGAACUGUACGAUUCAAUCGUACUCAACUGUAUAGCCAGUUCCUUCGGGAGCGUGUGUUCGAAUCACAC
rnacentral:tRNA from 1 species